UACUCCUACGGGAGGCAGCAGGAUUAGAUACCCUGGUAGUCACGGGGGUACUCCUACGGGAGGCAGCAGGAUUAGAUACCCUGGUAGUCCCGGGGGUACUCCUACGGGAGGCAGCAGUGAGGAAUAUUGGACAAUGGAGGCAACUCUGAUCCAGCCAUGCCGCGUGAAGGAUUAAGGCCCUAUGGGUUGUAAACUUCUUUUAGACGGGACAAAACCCCUUUACGUGUAAAGGGUUGAUGGUACUGUCAGAAUAAGCAUCGGCUAACUUCGUGCCAGCAGCCGCGGUAAUACGAAGGAUGCAAGCGUUAUCCGGAAUUAUUGGGUUUAAAGGGUGCGUAGGCGGACUAAUAAGUCAGUGGUGAAAGCCUGCAGCUUAACUGCAGAAUUGCCGUUGAUACUGUUAGUCUUGAGUACCGUUGAGGUAGGCGGAAUGUGUCAUGUAGCGGUGAAAUGCUUAGAUAUGACACAGAACACCGAUUGCGAAGGCAGCUUGCUAAGCUGUAACUGACGCUGAGGCACGAAAGCGUGGGGAGCAAACAGGAA
rnacentral:rRNA from 1 species